rnacentral:rRNA from 1 species
UACAGAGGGGGCAAGCGUUAUUCGGAAUUAUUGGGCGUAAAGGGCGCGUAGGCGGCUUGGCAAGUGGAAGGUGAAAUCCCUCGGCUCAACUGAGGAACUGCCUUCCAGACUGCUUUGCUUGAGUCCGGGAGAGGUGAGUGGAAUUCCGAGUGUAGAGGUGAAAUUCGUAGAUAUUCGGAGGAACACCAGUGGCGAAGGCGGCUCACUGGUCCGGUACUGACGCUGAGGUGCGAAAGCGUGGGGAGCAAACAGG